GUCUCCUCUUUCGCCUCCUGCACCUUGAGAGCCCUGGGCUACUCUGUCACAGCCCCUGUUGCCCUGCGAUCUGUAGGUCCUUGGGGACGCAUAGUUAAGGUGCCAGGACAUCCUGGAAGCUGGGAAAUGACCAUGGCUGGAGAAGGAAAGAAGGUGUGUUUUGCCUGAUUCAGGGACUAUAGAGAGAACCAAGUUCUGCAGGCCUGUCAUCUAAGUCUCAGGGCGGGGAGACCUUCCUUCCCCACGGGUUUGAGGCUAUGGCUAAGUGGUGAGCCUUGGUGAGACGCAGAAAGGAUCCAUCCCAGGCACUUGGCUAGAGGCUGAAUGCUAUCCCAGUGAUUGUACGUGCCCUGUUUGCUGAAUCUACUCAUCCUUAAGGGUACAUUUGCUUCCAGGUAACAUGUUUGUGACUAAUACUACAAUGUGCAUAUAUCUAUUCCAUGUUCUGCUUUGUCUGUUUGGGAUAUUUUUCAUACACUGAUUCAGUACCAUGUGUAUUCCCUUGCUUUUGUUGUCUCAUCCGUUGAUGUUACGUCCCCCAAAUUAUUGCCACGACCAGUUGUCAUGAAGCUUCACCCUUCUGUAUUGUGCUAGGAAUUUUACAGCUAUAGGUUUUACAUUAUAGUCUUCAUUCAUUUUUUAAAAUUGACACAUGUAAUUGUGCAUAUUUUGGGGAAACAAUUAUAUAUAUAUGUUGUAUAACAAUAAAAAUCAGAGUACUUCUAUA
rnacentral:lncRNA from 1 species